UGUGUGACAUCUUCAGGCACAAUUCGCUCCAUUUUUGCCGGCGUUUUCUCUAACCAGACGCCAUCGAUGUUCUCCUCGACGGCAAGCUUCGCCGCUGCAUGCGCCACCUGAUUGCAACUGUGGCGACGAUGGGUAAAUUUCGUGUCCCUUAACAACCGCGAAAGAGUUUUGAUUUCAUCCACAAUUAAUCCUAACUGAGAACGAUCUUCUUUAUUUGAAUGAAUCAUUGAGAAAACACUUAGAGAAUCAGUUUCAAUAAUUAGCUGGGUGAAUCCCAUCUCAAUCGCCGUCCACAAACUGUCUCUGAUCGCCAUUGCCUCAGCCUCUGCAACAGAUAAUAUGUCUCGCCUACUCUGAAGAAAGGUAAGAUUGGACUCGACUGGCCGGGGGUUCCAUCGAUUAUUGCUGAAGCUCAUAGUUCUAUCAGAGACUAAGACGGAAAUUGAGGACAUAGAUGUGAGACUUGACUCUACUGACCAAGUGCCAACUACCAACUCAUCUGUAUACCAUAGUCAAGUUGGUAUUGUGUAUGCAUGGAUGGGUUAAUUGUUCAUAUUGACCAAAAAAUGAAAAGGAAAAGGGAAAUGAUAUUGACGGAUAAAGAUUUAGGUCUCACAUAGUAAUUUAUGUGUGUAUAUACAUGUCUAACCCCUUACCUGGUUUACUUACUAAGUGUUUUUAAUACUCACUCAUUUUUGGAUUUUUUUUAAAUAAUUAUUUUUUAAAAACAAAUGACAAAUCUAAGGUAGGUUUCAAACUAAUUUAAUUACAAAAUUAGGGUAGAUAAAUCGCAGGAUAGGCUGCGAUUUGCCCAAAAUCGCAGGCGAUGGCUGCGAUUUAUGUCGAAAUCGCGGUAAUUGACCGCGAUUUCACUAAAGUCGCAGCCAUCGCCUGCGACUUCUGCCUAACGUGGCGCAAAUGGAGCCACGUCUUUGCUGACGGACCAUUUAUUUUUUUAAUUAUUUUUUUAUUUUGAAUUUGGAAGUCGCGACUUCCCUUUGUUUUUUUUGGUUAAAUUUGGGAGGGGCAGCUCUUCUCCACUUCCUCUUUUAUUUUUUUAUUUUUUAUUUUUUAUUUUUAUUUUAUCUUUUGAAUUUAAAAAUUAUAGUCCUGCAACUUCCCACCAAUAUCCCUUUGUUUUUCUUAAUUUUAUUUUAAAAGACCAUAAUUUAAGAAAAAUACUAUCAUCUUAAUUAUCUUAAUUUUCUCCAUAUUUGGAAAGUAGUUCUUAAUUACCUACCACAUGAUGUAAUAUUCCUAUAAUGUAAUAAUUUAAAACAAAAUAAUUGUAAAACAAACAAAACCCUAAUUAUACAUAUCCCAAAUUUUGGUUUUUGUUUUAAAGCCAUGUAUUUCGCGAUGCAAAUGACAAAACAUGGGAGUUUCA